rnacentral:rRNA from 1 species
GGUUAAGCGACUAAGCGUACACGGUGGAUGCCCUGGCAGUCAGAGGCGAUGAAGGACGUGCUAAUCUGCGAAAAGCGACGGCGAGGUGAUAUGAACCUUUGACCCGUCGAUGUCCGAAUGGGGAAACCCAGUGUGAUUCGUCACACUAUCGUUAACUGAAUACAUAGGUUAACGAGGCGAACCGGGGGAACUGAAACAUCUAAGUACCCCGAGGAAAAGAAAUCAACCGAGAUUCCCCCAGUAGCGGCGAGCGAACGGGGAGCAGCCCGGAGUCUGAAUCAGCUUGUGUGUUAGUGGAAGCGUCUGGAAAGUCGCACGGUACAGGGUGACAGUCCCGUACACGAAAAUGCACAGGUUGUGAACUCGAAGAGUAGGGCGGGACACGUGGUAUCCUGUCUGAAUAUGGGGGGACCAUCCUCCAAGGCUAAAUACUCCUGACUGACCGAUAGUGAACCAGUACCGUGAGGGAAAGGCGAAAAGAACCCCGGCGAGGGGAGUGAAAAAGAACCUGAAACCGUGUACGUACAAGCAGUGGGAGCACCUUCGGGUGUGACUGCGUACCUUUUGUAUAAUGGGUCAGCGACUUAUAUUCUGUAGCAAGGUUAACCGUAUAGGGGAGCCG